rnacentral:rRNA from 1 species
ACCACUUUGCUCUAAUGGAAAACUUUAUUUUCUCUCGACUAUGGAAUGGGAGCUCUGCGCAACCAGCAAGAAACAUUGGGCUAUGCUAGGAAUAGCAACUCAGUCGUGAGAUUGUGUAUGGCUACUUAGGUGCCAGCAGCCGCGGUCACACCUAAAUGCAAAAUAAAGUCGAACUGGUCGGUUUUGUAAACAAAUGAGGUAUAAUUAGUGAAAUAUUAUUCCUCAAAUACCCUUAUUUGCUUCUUUUUUACCUAAACUCCACAGAUAAACUAGGAUUAGAUACCCUACUAUAGAGAGCAAAAACUUAAAAAUAAGACCAAAGCACUAAAGUCAAAUGACUAAAACUUAAAGGGCAUGGCGGCGGACUUAACUUUCAGGGGAACUUACCAGGUAAUUGACAACCCCCAAGGAAUCUUACGUAACCUAACAGUAUGUAUACCGCCGUCUAGCAGAUAUCACCUGAGGUGAUGUCGGAGUACUAUUCUUUGUAGAAAGACAGGUCAUGGCACAGCUCAUGGUUACGUUCAUGGCGAGUUACAAUAAAGAUUUUUUUCAGGGGAGUGUGGUUUAAACCACCUCUGAAGAUGGACUUGAAAGUAAUAGACACAGAAACAAUAAUACUCUUUGAAUUUACUUUGAGGCCGUGCACAAAUCGCCCGUCACUCUCGUUGAAAAAGGAGAUAAGUCGUAACACAGUAAGGGUAAUGGAAAUUGUCCUU